rnacentral:rRNA from 1 species
GACGAACGCUGGCGGCGUGCUUAACACAUGCAAGUCGAGCGGAAGGACGCGACGUUCGCUUUACUGAUGUUACCAACGGACGGGUGACUCACACGUGGAUUACCCUCCUCUUAGACUUGGAUCUCUUCGAGAAACUGGAGUUCCUACCAGAUGAUAUUUUGAACGGGAUGGUUGAAAAGUGUAAUACGUUCUUGCUGUCACUUCUAGCUGUCUCCGCGCUGCAUUAGUUAGUUGGUAAGGUAACGGCUUACCAAGGCAACGAUGCAUAGCCGACCUGAGAGGGUGAUCGGCCACACGGGAGCUGAGACACGGACCGGACUCCUACGGGAGGCAGCAGUAGGGAAGCUUCCAGAAGGGGCGAAUGCCUGACGGAGCAACGCCGCGUGAGUGAUGAAGGUCGUGGGAUCGUAGAACGCUGUUAUUAGGGAAGAACAUAUGGGUAAGGAACUGUGCACAUCUUGACGUUACCUAAUCAGAAGGCCACGGCUAACUACGUG